rnacentral:tRNA from 1 species
GGCAUUGCGUGGGGUAGAUCCAGUUACUUUGAUGAAGUAAAGUUCGAAUGUAUAGUUCCAAUGUUU